AUUGAACGCUGGCGGCAUGCUUUACACAUGCAAGUCGAACGGUAACAGGCCUUCGGGUGCUGACGAGUGGCGAACGGGUGCGUAAUGCAUCGGAACGUACCCAGAGGUGGGGGAUAACGCAGCGAAAGCUGUGCUAAUACCGCAUGUGAUCUGAGGAUGAAAGCGGGGGACCGAGCAGCAAUGUUUGGCCUCGCGCCUUUGGAGCGGCCGAUGUCGGAUUAGCUAGUUGGUGGGGUAAAGGCCUACCAAGGCGACGAUCCGUAGCUGGUCUGAGAGGACGACCAGCCAAACUGGGAUUGGGAAACGGCCCAAACUCCUAGGGGAGGCAGCAGUGGGGAAUUUUGGACAAUGGCGCAAGCCUGAUCCAGCAAUGCCGCGUGCGGGAAGAAGGCCUUCGGGUUGUAAACCGCUUUUGGCAGGAACGAAACGGUGUCCGCUAAUACCGGGCGCUAAUGACGGUACCUGCAGAAUAAGCACCGGCUAACUACGUG
rnacentral:rRNA from 1 species